UACGUAGGGUGCAAGCGUUAAUCGGAAUUACUGGGCGUAAAGCGUGCGCAGGCGGUUGUGCAAGACCGAUGUGAAAUCCCCGGGCUUAACCUGGGAAUGGCAUUGGUGACUGCAUCGCUGGAGUGCGGCAGAGGGGGAUGGAAUUCCGCGUGUAGCAGUGAAAUGCGUAGAUAUGCGGAGGAACACCGAUGGCGAAGGCAAUCCCCUGGGCCUGCACUGACGCUCAUGCACGAAAGCGUGGGGAGCAAACAGG
rnacentral:rRNA from 1 species